UUCCCCAGAGCCUCAUGGUCGGACUGGAAAGCAGAACUAUAGUUCCCAGAAGUCCUUGCGAUGUCACAAGAAACUACGAUUCCCAGCGCCCCCCGCGCGGGGCGGGGAUUGGGCCAGAGCCUCAGUGGAGACUACAACUACCAGGGCGCCUGGUAGCUGGGCUACUGGGCCACCGGAAGCGGCUGGUGGAGAGCAGCUGGCGGUGACUGGGGUUGUCUGGGUACCGAUCAGGGUUGGGAGACGCAGGCAUGCUGCGUCCCAAGGCUUUGACGCAGGUGCUAAGCCAAGCCAACACCGGAGGAGUCCAAAGCACCCUGCUGCUGAAUAACGAGGGAUCGUUGCUGGCCUACUCCGGUUAUGGGGACACAGAUGCCCGGGUCACCGCGGCCAUCGCCAGUAACAUCUGGGCCGCGUACGACCGGAACGGGAACCAAGCGUUUAAUGAAGACAAUCUCAAAUUUAUCCUCAUGGACUGCAUGGUAUGGAGUAAAGUAGGCUGACCUCGAACUUGCAGUGAUCAUCCUGCCUCUGCCUCCUGAAAAGUGAGAUUGCAGGAGGGACGUGUAGCCAUUACUCGGGUGGCCAACCUCCUGUUAUGUAUGUAUGCCAAGGAGACUGUAGGCUUCGGAAUGCUCAAGGCCAAA